rnacentral:rRNA from 1 species
AAUGUAUGAAGGAGGCCUUCGGGUUGUAAAGUACUUUCAACGAGAAGAAGGUUCAUACGUUAAUAGCGUAUGGANUUGACGUUAGCUGCAGAAGAAGCUCCGGCUAACUCCGUGACAGCAGCCGCGGUAAAACGGAGGGUGCGAGCGUUAAUCGGAAUUACUGGGCGUAAAGCGCAUGCAGGUGGUUUGUUAAGUCAGAUGUGAAAGCCCGGGGCUCAACCUCGGAAUUGCAUUUGAAACUGGCAGACUAGAGUACUGUAGAGGGGGGUAGAAUUUCAGGUGUAGCGGUGAAAUACGUAGAGAUCUGAAGGAAUACCGGUGGCGAAGGCGGCCCCCUGGACAGAUACUGACACUCAGAUGCGAAAGCGUGGGGAGCAAACAGGAUUAGAUACCCUGGUAGUCCACGCCGUAAACGAUGUCUACUUGGAGGUUGUGGCCUUGAGCCGUGGCUUUCGAG